AGCUCAGACACGGAGAACUGCAGCUUCCAAUGAUCUCAUUAGUGGGUUGCUGGUCCCCAGCAGGCUGAGCGUCUUUCUGGAUCGGGUCCUCUCGCAUGAUCUCGCAUGUGGGUCUUGUAUUGACUAAGAUGGCAUUAAACUCACGCUGAAGAUCCCUCUGACGGUCCUGCCUUCAACUUCUGAGCUCCAGGACAAGGGGACACUGAGCCCCGGUGUCCACGCAUAAGGGCUGCCGGCUACAGAUGGACGGGCCAUUGAGUGUUCAGCUCUUCGCACCCUUAGAGCAUCUGUGGAGUGGAGCGAAGUGGAUUGGAGAGUCUCUCCCCAGUACACUUACUCCUAAGCCCCAGGCCUGCAAGCAUGACCCUAUUAAGUGUCCACAGAGGCCAUUAAGGAUCUUGAGAUGUGACCAUCUUGAAUGAGGACAGACUAAUCUACUGCCAGUGUCUAAAAGAGAAAGCCCUGAGCCAGAUAUAAGGAGAAGGCUACAUGAGACCCACGAAGACCAGAGAAGUGUACCAUAAGCAGGGACACCCGGGAGCCACCAGGAGCUGGAGAGGUGAGGGGGGGGCUCCUGUGGCCUGUGCCGUUCCCUCACAUCCUGGGUCCUCAGAGCCCUGUGUAACUCGAGGGUUCCUCUUCUGGAUAACUCAUGCCCACCUAGCAGCUCCAGCAACCCUCUGCAACUGGGUGUCUAGCCCACUCCAGGCAGGCCCUAGUCAGCCUCCUUCGGGGAAAAGGCUACUCUGCAACCCAGUUUGACAGUGUUCUAGCUCGUUUCUCUGCUGCUCUGAUAAGGCACUGAUCAAAAGCAACUUGGGGAGGAGAGAGUUUAUUUGCCGUACACUUUGCGGUUAUAGUCCAUUGUUGAAGGGAACAGAGACAGCUAAGGAAUGGUGAUUACUUAUCAUGGACCACUCUGCUGGUUUCUAAACUAUAACCCAGGACCACCUACCUAGGGGUGGUGCCACCCAUCGUGGACUGGGCCGUCUCACAUCAAACAUCGAUCAAGGAAAUGAAAUGCCUCCACAGACUUGCCUAUAGCCAAUCUAAUGAAACAAUUUUCUUAGUUGACUCUAGUUUGGGUCAAUUUGACAAAAAAACAAAAAACAAAAACAAACAAACAAAAAAACAACAACAAAACAUAAAAACACUAAAAACUAACCAUGACAGACAUGGGGCAACUCUAGCGAAGACACAAGGGUCCUUGAGGGGUCACACAGCAACGGGCUUAGGGCAGACUGAAUCUAGCCAGUGGGCUCAGGUUGCACUCCUAGUCUGUGGUUACAAGCUGUUGCUGCCCUUACAGGCCCAGGCUCGGUGCAUGGUCCCCAGGCUGUCCUUUGCCAGCAUCUCUCCAAAUCAGGUCUAGCUCUCUUCAGGAAACCGUCCCUGGUCCAAGGCACUGUGGCUUCCUUGCUUCUAGCUCUAUAUAUAGCCUUGUGACUGCCACCUUGUCCUAGCUCGGGUUUUUGUUUGGUUUUGAGGGUUACCUCUCUUUCCCUGACGGUACUUCUUCCGGGACAUGAAGGGCAGGGUCACGUCUCGCUAGGUUCUGUGUAUCCCGACUGUGAACCUGGAGCCAGCCCAGGUGUGCUCCUUGUACCUGCUGUGCCAGCUGCAUCCUGUGCACAGCCCAGGACAGAAGACAGCACAAGAGCAUGGAUCGCAGGUUGUGACGCUCAGUGACCGCAGUGUGCCAGCCGUGUGCUGGGCUCUCUGGACUCAGGACCCAGUGACGACACAGGCAGCCACGGCAGUGCUGACCCAGGUUGGGACAUUCAGGGCUAGAUCCUCACAUUGCUGGGGUGGGCUGGGAACUCUGCUGCCUCCCAGGGUUGGGAGAUGUGGCUUCCCACUGUCUCAGUAGCCACAGUCCAUCGCAGUAGCCAAUUGCAAAUGUGAAUUUCUCAGGAGUCUGUGAACCAGCACCCGCUCGGUUAUUUGACUCACCCAAGUAUUGUCACCUGCUAAUUAUAAUUAAAUCUUUCACAAGCUG